rnacentral:rRNA from 1 species
AUACGUAGGGGGCAAGCGUUGUCCGGAAUUACUGGGCGUAAAGAGCUCGUAGGCGGCUCAGCAAGUCGGUCGUGAAAGCCCGAGGCUCAACCUCGGAACUGCGGUCGAUACUGCUGUGGCUAGAGUCCGGUAGAGGAGAGUGGAAUUCCCGGUGUAGCGGUGGAAUGCGCAGAUAUCGGGAGGAACACCAGUGGCGAAGGCGGCUCUCUGGGCCGGUACUGACGCUGAGGAGCGAAAGCGUGGGGAGCAAACAGGAUUAGAUACCCGAGUAGUCC